AUCCUGUAGCUGGGCACAGUAGGAAGAAGCAUUCUCAUCAUGGCCACUUAGCUUGCUCGAGAUUACACAGAACCAUGCCUCUGGUUUCCUGGUACAGUGCUCCGGCAGGUGACGGAUGCUCCUGGGUGACAUAUCACGGAUCUCUCUGAGGUAAGACGUGCCUUUUGCCUUCCACCUUCUGCCGUGAUUGUGAGGACCCGCCAGCCACGUGGAACUGGACACGGUAUAAAAAGAAUGGUUUUCAAGACAUUGGACAGCAAGAAAGAAAGUACAGCAACCCCUGAGAGAUGGGUAACAAACAAGAUGAACCUUCUUAUUGUCCCAGCUUACUGCUUUGAGAGAGCAUCCAGGUCUGUGUAUGGAGCAGAAACACAAAAGGAGUCCAGAAAUCUCCUCGUGCUGAGGAAAGACAGAGCUGAGGCUAUGGGGAGACCAAAGCAGGUAGAGGGCUUGAAAGACACUUGAUGUAAGUCACCUUUAAAGAAUAUGCAUGCUGUUUCAGUGUACAUGGAAUGUUUACCAAAAUAGAACAUAUUCUGGGCCACAGAACAAGUCUCAACAAGUUUGAACAGAUUCAAGUCGUACAAACUGCUGACCAUGAUGGCA
ensembl:lncRNA RMDN2-AS1 RMDN2 antisense RNA 1